rnacentral:misc_RNA from 1 species
GAUGAAGAACGCAGUGAAAUGCGAUAAGUAAUGUGAAUUGCAGAAUUCAGUGAAUCAUCGAAUCUUUGAACGCACCUUGCGCUCUUUGGUAUUCCGAAGAGCAUGCCUGUUUGAGUGUCAUGAAAAUAUCAACCUUGACUUGGGUUUUGUGCUCUAGUCUCGGCUUGGAAUUGGGUGCUUGCCGCUUUAACGAGCGGCUCACCUUAAAUGUAUUAGCUGGAUCUGUCUUUGAGACUUGGUUUGACUUGGCGUAAUAAGUAUUUCGCUAAGGACAUUCUUCGGAGUGGCCUCGUUUCUAGGACGCUUGUCCGCUUUCCAAUACAAGUUCCACCUCGUGGACAUGACUUUUUAUUAUCUGGCCUCAAAUCAGGUAGGACUACCCGCUGAACUUAAGCAUAUCAAUAAGCGGAGGA